rnacentral:rRNA from 1 species
GAUGAACGCUGGCGGCGUGCCUAAUACAUGCAAGUCGAACGGGCAUCUUUUAGCAAUAAGAGGUGCUAGUGGCGAACGGGUGAGUAACACGUGGAUGACCUGCCCCGAAGCGGGGGAUAACGGCUCGAAAGGGCUGCUAAUACCCCAUGUGGUUCUGAUCGUUAGAGAGUUAGAACUAAAGGAGCAAUUCGUUUUGGGAGGGGUCUGCGUCCCAUCAGCUAGUUGGUAAGGUAACGGCCUACCAAGGCGACGACGGGUAGGGGGCCUGAGAGGGUGGCCCCCCACAAUGGAACUGAAACACGGUCCAUACACCUACGGGUGGCAGCAGUAGGGAAUAUUGCACAAUGGGCGCAAGCCUGAUGCAGCAACGCCGCGUGCGCGAUGAAGGUCUUCGGAUCGUAAAGCGCUUUUCCGGGAGAAGAGGAAGGACGGUACCCCCGGAAUAAGUCUCGGCUAACUACGUGCCAGCAGCCGCGGUAAAACGUAGGAGGCAAGCGUUAUCCGAAUUCACUGGGCGUAAAGCGCGUGCAGGCGGUUCGGUAAGUUGGAUGUGAAAUCUCCCGGCUCAACUGGGAGAGGUCGUUCAAGACUGUCGGACUCGAGGCUGGUAGAGGAAGGUAGAAUUCCCGGUGUAGUAGUGAAAUGCGUAGAUAUCGGGAGGAAUACCUGUGGCGAAAGCGGCCUUCUGGACCAGACCUGACGCUCAGACGCGAAAGCUAGGGGAGCGAACGGGAUUAGAAACCCCGGUAGUCCUAGCCGUAAACGAUGUGAACUGGGUGUUGGCGGGGUAAAAGCCGUCAGCGCCGAAGCCAACGCGAUAAGUUCACCGCCUGGGGACUACGGCCGCAAGGUUA